rnacentral:rRNA from 1 species
GCUUCGGUAACUGACCUAGCGGCGGACGGGUGAGUAAUACUUAGGAAUCUGCCUAUUAAUGGGGGACAACAUCUCGAAAGGGAUGCUAAUACCGCAUACGCCCUACGGGGGAAAGCAGGGGAUCACUUGUGACCUUGCGUUAAUAGAUGAGCCUAAGUCGGAUUAGCUAGUUGGUGGGGUAAAGGCCUACCAAGGCGACGAUCUGUAGCGGGUCUGAGAGGAUGAUCCGCCACACUGGGACUGAGACACGGCCCAGACUCCUACGGGAGGCAGCAGUGGGGAAUAUUGGACAAUGGGGGGAACCCUGAUCCAGCCAUGCCGCGUGUGUGAAGAAGGCCUUAUGGUUGUAAAGCACUUUAAGCGAGGAGGAGGCUCUCUUGGUUAAUACCCAAGAUGAGUGGACGUUACUCGCAGAAUAAGCACCGGCUAACUCUGUGCCAGCAGCCGCGGUAAUACAGAGGGUGCGAGCGUUAAUCGGAUUUACUGGGCGUAAAGCGUGCGUAGGCGGCUUUUUAAGUCGGAUGUGAAAUCCCNGAGCUUAACUUGGGAAUUGCAUUCGAUACUGGGAAGCUAGAGUAUGGGAGAGGAUGGUAGAAUUCCAGGUGUAGCGGUGAAAUGCGUAGAGAUCUGGAGGAAUACCGAUGGCGAAGGCAGCCAUCUGGCCUAAUACUGACGNUGAGGUANGAAAGCAUGGGGAGCAAACAGGAUUAGAUACCCUGGUAGUCCAUGCCGUAAACGAUGUCUACUAGCCGUUGGGGCCUUUGAGGCUUUAGUGGCGCAGCUAACGCGAUAAGUAGACCGCCUGGGGAGUACGGUCGCAAGACUAAAACUCAAAUGAAUUGACGGGGGCCCGCACAAGCGGUGGAGCAUGUGGUUUAAUUUGAUGCAACGCGAAGAACCUUACCUGGUCUUGACAUAGUAAGAACUUUCCAGAGAUGGAUUGGUGCCUUCGGGAAAUUACAUACAGGUGCUGCAUGGCGGUCGUCAGCUCGUGUCGUGAGAUGUUGGGUUAAGUCCCGCAACGAGCGCAACCCUUUUCCUUAUUUGCCAGCGGGUUAAGCCGGGCACUUUAAGGAUACUGCCAGUGACAAACUGGAGGAAGGCGGGGACGACGUCAAGUCAUCAUGGCCCUUACGACCAGGGCUACACACGUGCUACAAUGGUCGGUACAAAGGGUUGCUACCUAGCGAUAGGAUGCUAAUCUCAAAAAGCCGAUCGUAGUCCGGAUUGGAGUCUGCAACUC